CAUACAGUGGUAUUUCUGGUGUUUGUCAAGGUAUCAUUAUGGUUCACUUCUUAAAAAUCCAAGAAUCCUUUGGGCAUUAUCUGGGACUUAGAAAAAGAAUGUAAAAAGAAGGUCUGGAUAACAGCCCCAGUCUUGCUGAAACAAAGGUGUUUAAGUUCCAGAGCAUCUCAGGUUUUGUGAGCUGAACUGCCAAGGGAAAUCUUGAUUGCACACCUAAUUGUGGAGCAGAAAUCAAAUGGACCCAUGCGAGAUUCUCUUGUUGCUACAGAUCUCCAAGUAAUUAUGAAAG